rnacentral:rRNA from 1 species
AGUGAACGCUGGCGGUAUGCCUAACACAUGCAAGUCGAACGGCAGCACAGUAAGAGCUUUCUCUUACUGGUAGCGAGGGACGGACGGGUGAGAAGUAGAUCGCCAACCACUUUUUCGUGGGGGAUAUCGUGAGGAAACUUACACUAACAGCUCAUAUGAUCUACCGCUGGAAUCAAGAGUGCUUGACGCCUUUCCCGUCUCUUAUAGACGAUGCCGCAUUAGCUAGUUGGCGGGGUAAGGGCCCACCAAGGCAACGAUCCGUAGCAGGCCUGAGAGGAUGAUCGGCCACACUGGAACUGAGACACGGUCCAGACUCCUACGGGAGGCAGCAGUGGGGAAUAUUGGACAAUGGGCGAAAGCCUGACCCAGCCAUACCGCGUGGGUGAUGAAGGUCUUCGGGUUGUAAAGCUCUUUUGUUAGGGAAGAAAAGAUGUAUGUUUAACCGUGGAUGUUCUGACGGUACCCAAAGAGUAAGCACCGGCUAACUACGUG